rnacentral:rRNA from 1 species
GUAUCAUGGCUCAGGAUGAACGCUAGCGACAGGCUUAACACAUGCAAGUCGAGGGGCAUCUAUGUAGGUAGCAAUACCUUGAUGGCGACCGGCGCACGGGUGAGUAACGCGUAUGCAACCUGCCUGAUACCGGGGUAUAGCCCAUGGAAACGUGGAUUAACACCCCAUAGUACUUUUAUCCUGCAUGGGAUGUGAGUUAAAUGUUUAAGGUAUCGGAUGGGCAUGCGUCCUAUUAGG